GACGAACCGUCCAAACGUUAUUCGGUAUCACUGGGCUUAAAGCGUGCGUAGGCUGCCUGAAAGGUGAGAUGUGAAAUCCCUCGGCUCAACCGAGGAACUGCGUUUCAAACCGUCGGGCUAGAGGAAUACAGGGGUAAGCGGAACAGAUGGUGGAGCGGUGAAAUGCGUUGAUAUCAUCUGGAACACCGGUGGCGAAAGCGGCUUACUGGGUAUUAACUGACGCUGAGGCACGAAAGCUAGGGGAGCAAACGGG
rnacentral:misc_RNA from 1 species